CAGGUGCUGCAUGGCUGUCGUCAGCUCGUGUCGUGAGAUGUUGGGUUAAGUCCCGUAACGAGCGCAACCCUUGUCCUUAGUUACCAGCACGUUAGUGGUGGGCACUCUAAGGAGACUGCCGGUGACAAACCGGAGGAAGGUGGGGAUGACGUCAAGUCAUCACUGGCCCUUACGGGCCUGGGCUACACACGUGCUACAAUGGUCGGUACAAAGGGUUGCCAAGCCGCGAGGUGGAGCUAAUCCCAUAAAACCGAUCGUAGUCCGGAUCGCAGUCUGCAACUCGACUGCGUGAAGUCGGAAUCGCUAGUAAUCGUGAAUCAGAAUGUCACGGUGAAUACGUUCCCGGGCCUU
rnacentral:rRNA from 1 species